rnacentral:rRNA from 1 species
UACGUAGGGGGCUAGCGUUGUCCGGAAUCAUUGGGCGUAAAGCGCGUGUAGGCGGCCCGGUAAGUCCGCUGUGAAAGUCGGGGGCUCAACCCUCGAAUGCCGGUGGAUACUGUCGGGCUUGAGUACGGAAGAGGCGAGUGGAAUUCCUGGUGUAGCGGUGAAAUGCGCAGAUAUCAGGGGGAACACCAAUUGCGAAGGCAGCUCGCUGGGACGUUACUGACGCUGAGACGCGAAAGCGUGGGGAGCAAACAGG